GUAGGUGGCAAGUGUUGUCCGGAAUUAUUGGGCGUAAAGCGCGCGCAGGUGGUUCUUUAAGUCUGAUGUGAAGGCCCCCGGCUCAACCGGGGAGGGUCAUUGGAAACUGGGGAACUUGAGUGCAGGAGAGGAAAGUGGAAUUCCACGUGUAGCGGUGAAAUGCGUAGAUAUGUGGAGGAACACCAGUGGCGAAGGCGACUUUCUGGCCUGUAACUGACACUGAGGCGCGAAAGCGUGGGGAGCAAACAGGGAUUAGAUACCCUGGUAGUCCACGCCGUAAACGAUGAGUGCUAAGUGUUGGGGGGGUUUCCCGCCCCUCAGUGCUGCAGCUAACGCAUUAAGCACUCCGCCUGGGGAGUACGGUCGCAAGACUG
rnacentral:rRNA from 1 species